rnacentral:misc_RNA from 1 species
GAUGAAGAACGUAGCGAAAUGCGAUAAGUAAUGUGAAUUGCAGAAUUCAGUGAAUCAUCGAAUCUUUAAACGCACAUUGCGCCCGCUAGUAUUCUGGCGGGCAUGCCUGUUCGAGCGUCAUUUCAACCAUCAAGCCCUGCUUGUGUUGGGGUCCUGCGGCUGCCCGCAGGCCCUGAAAACCAGUGGCGGGCUCGCUAGUCACACCGAGCGCAGUAGCACAUCUCGCUCAGGGCGUGCGGCGGGUUCUUGCCGUAAAACACCCCCUUUUUACCAAGGUUGACCUCGGAUCAGGUAGGAAUACCCGCUGAACUUAAGCAUAUCAAUAAGCGGAGGA